GCCGAUCGUAGUCCGGAUUGUUCUCUGCAACUCGAGAGCAUGAAGUCGGAAUCGCUAGUAAUCGCGGAUCAGCAUGUCGCGGUGAAUACGUUCCCGGGUCUUGUACACACCGCCCGUCACACCAUGGGAGUGGAAUCUGCCAGAAGUAGGUAGCCUAACCGCAAGGAGGGCGCUUACCACGGUGGGUUUCAUGACUGGGGUGAAGUCGUAACAAGGUAGCCGUAGGGGAACCUGCGGCUGGAUCACCUCCUUUCUAG
rnacentral:rRNA from 1 species